CUUUGCAAGGGUCAGCUGCAGCCCCACACGGGCUCAGCACGCAGCGUGGUGGCCGUGCACGGCCCGAGGGGCACAGGUACCUACAAGCAGCUGGAUUUCAGUGGUUUUCGAAUACCUUCAAGAAACUGGGCUGCGAUGUUUCAGCAUUUCACGGUAAGUCAGCAGUUAGACUGGACAUGAACCUAGAUCAUCUGUCCUGGUGACAGAAGCAUCUUCUUAAAUAUUUUCCUGCCAAACCUUGUCUAUUUAACUGACUCAAGGUAAUUCUUCACAAAAGAUCAAAUUCUGUCUAUGGUGGAUGACUAAAAGCUGUCACUCAAGCAUUCAGAAACCUGCACAUCUCCUUCAUCUUGGAGAACCUGCAUGUGAUUUGGAUGGACAGAAACAAGUUUCUCAGAUCUCACAUAUGAAGCUCACAUGAUAAAUUCUCCUCCAGCUCUGUCUGACAGGAGCUUCAAACCUAAUGAGACCUUUCUGAGAUUUCAUUGGCAGCUACUUAAACUCAGAAGGCAAGGGAAAAGAAGUGGUGAAAGCAGGCUAAUGUGGAAACUUGAUAGAGACAUUUCAGAACUGUAGUGGCGUAUCACUCUCCAUCCUUAACAUUUCCCACAGUGGAGAUGAAAGGAGCUUGUGCGAACGUCUGUCAGACAGAAGAAGUUGAUAUGGUGUACAUCAUAACUCUGCCCUGCAAAGCAUGGCCAUGCAGAAGGUACGUGACCAAACAGAUGAGAAUUUUUGAAGGGGAAUGAGCAGGCAGGAGUGAAAUGUGUCCAAAGCCUGCUCCUUGCAGCUGGACCUUGGAAAUGAGCACCGGGAAGCAAAAUGUGCCUUUACACUAACUCACCAACCUGUUGAGUCACAGUGCAAGAGGAACUAAAGGGCAGCAUAGAGCAUCCUGGCUAUCACACAGCUCCGUCAGCCCCAUCAGGAGUCCUGAAAACCUUUCAGGAUGAGUGCUGGGGCAUCCAUGCGUGUAGGCUUUGCUGGAUGCUACUGCAGGUUUUCAGAUGACCUGUUAGCAGGACACUCAUCCCUCAGCUGUAAUAAAGCAAAUGAUUGCCUCCUUUCUGUUUUAUUUUGUU